GUUUCGCUGACUUGUUCAGUGGGAAGGAAAGUCCGGACAGCGCAGAGCAACGCACCACCUAACGGGUGGGUCCCGGUGCAAACCGGGAACAGCAAGUGCCACAGAAAAUAACCGUCUGCUUCGGCAGAUAAGGGUGAAAAUGUGGGGUAAGAGCCCACGGUGCAGGCAGGUAACUGUUUGUGCGGGUAAACCUUGCGUGCUGAAAUGCCAUGUAUACGGUCGAUUGAGGGCUGCUCGCCCGAUGACCGAGGGUAGGCAGAUACAGACAAC
rnacentral:misc_RNA from 1 species